GGUGAGAUACCACUGAGAGUUCAGGAGGACGCUUUCUUUCCUAUGUUCAACAAGGGAUUGGGUAGCAACUAGGCAGAAGCCUUCUUUUGGAUCUGUUUGCCAAAGCCCCAAUACCCAUUAGAAUUUUCUGGGGUUGGGCUGCUGAAGAGCAAGAGCUGGGGAGGCUGGAUUUGGGAGGCCUGGUUUCUCGUGCCACUUUUUAGCUUGCGGACACUGGGCACACUAUUUCUACCCCUUCGGUUUCAUUAUUUGGGAGAUGGCAGCAAUACUGUGUGUGUGUGUGUUUCAUGCGGCUGUUAUGACGAUGAGCUGGGCUUGAGUGCGAAAAGCCCUUUACAAACCAUUUAACCCUCUCCAGAUGUUAGUUAUUAUCAUCUUUCUAAAGAAUAGGAGACUGCAGAAAAGACUCCUUGACACUUUUAGUCAAAACUUGACCCUAAGCUCAUUCUCGCUGCAAAGCGAAAGGGUUGCGGUGCCCCACACCAGGCCGGGGCAGGGUCACCCACGCUGCCGGUGUACGGUCACUGCAGUAUUCAUUCCGAGAGGCUGCUGGCCCUGGGUCCUCCCAUUGGUCUCCCGCGGAGGGCCCGCGCAGUUCCUCUCAUCAGGGUGGUGCCAGCAAGAGGGCGUGGGCAGGGCGGGGCCGAGAAACUCGGGAUGGGGCGUGGCCUCCCGGGGAAGGGCGGGGCCUCGCCUCCCGGGCGUUCCGGGGGCCGCCGGCGCGCGGGGCUAGCCAGCCAGCGAACGGACGAGCGCGCGGCCCCUGCGCACUCGGCCGCCGCCCGCGCGCGUCGCUGGCACAGCUGCGUUCUCGCCUCCGCGGCUGGGCGCCGGGUCCCGCGCGAGCCGUCGCUGAGCGCCCUGCGCUCCCCGCACCUGCGCCCCUUCCUCACCGCAACAGGUCAGGGGAGGGUGGAGGCGGCGAGGGCGCGCGAGCAGAGACUGGAGGACUCCAGGUCUGGAAGAACUGACAGCGAUGAUGUGGUUGGAGAUAUGCAACUUGGAGAUGAGCAGACUCAUCGCUUUCCACUAAUUGGCAGCAAUGGCGUUUACCGAAAGAGUCAACAGCAGCAGCAACAGGUGUGCUGA
rnacentral:lncRNA from 1 species